CUCGUUUAUAGACUGAAGGGAAAGUACAGAAGUGAGUGAGACUGAAAACACAGACUCAAAAUGAAAUCACCGAUGAAGCAGGGUGGCUAAAGAGGAGAGGAAGUAAACCUCAGUGCAGCUAUGAAAGAAUACGUCAAAAUGGCAACAAGAGCUGCCUUGAGCCCUGAGGGACUAAAAGGAACACAGGCCAAUCUGUCUUGGACAUGUAGAGGCAGUAAAGGCUUCCUGUAACUUUUAGGUCUUCAGGUAUUUUAGGAAGUAUUUUUUCUGAAGUCAGCAUCCUCAGAAGCAAAGCCUGAGAUGAAGAUUCAGAUGAAGAUGAUUUACACACCAGAAACAACUAGCACAACAGUGGGAGAGGGGAGCCAAGCGAGGGGAGGAUGUUCAUUUCAUAAAUUUAUGAUUUAUGCUUUAAUAAAGUGAUGCAAUCUCAUUGAAUAUUUAAAAUGAAAUGUGCU
rnacentral:lncRNA from 1 species